AUGUUUUCUUUAUCAAUAAAAUUAACAUUUAUUAGCAUUUUCAUAAUUAUAUUAUUCUUAAUAUUUUAUUUAUUUUUUGAUAAAUUAAUCAUUGAACCUUUCAUUAAUAAUAAUGAAAUAAUUAAAUUAUCUUUAAUAAAUAAUUUUUUAAUAGAAGACACAAUUUCAUUAAAUAAAAUAUAUAAUUUUCCAACUAAUUUAAUUACUUUAUUAUUGAUUAAUUAUUUAUUUUUAACUUUAUUAGUAACAGUAAAAAUUACAAAAAAAAAAUUAUGGCCCAUUACGACCAAUAAAUUAAUGACUAAAUCAUUACGAAAAACUCACCCUUUAUUAAAAAUAGCUAACAACGCUUUAGUGGAUUUACCUGCUCCUUCUAAUAUUUCAGCCUGAUGAAAUUUUGGAUCAUUAUUGGGAUUAUGUUUAAUUAUUCAAAUUUUAACAGGAUUAUUUUUAGCAAUACAUUAUACAGCAGAUAUCGAAACUGCUUUUAAUAGAGUAAAUCACAUUUAUCGAGAUGUAAAUAAUGGUUGAUUUUUACGAAUUUGCCAUGCUAAUGGAGCUUCUUUUUUUUUGCUUGUUUAUUUAUUCAUGUAGGUCGAGGAAUUUAUUACAACUCUUAUUUAUUUAUUCCAACAUGAAUAAUUGGAGUAAUUAUCUUAUUUAUAGUAAUAGCAACAGGAUUUUUAGGGUAUGUUUUACCUUGAGGUCAAAUAUCUUUUUGAGGUGCUACUGUAAUUACUAAUCUUUUAUCAGCUAUUCCAUAUUUAGGAACAGAUUUAGUACAAUGAAUUUGAGGAGGAUUUGCUGUUGAUAAUGCAACUUUAACUCGAUUUUUUACUUUUCAUUUUAUUUUACCUUUUAUUGUAUUAGCAUUAACUAUAAUUCAUUUAUUAUUUUUACAUCAAACUGGGUCUAAUAAUCCAUUAGGAUUAAAUUCUAAUGUUGAUAAAAUUCCUUUUCAUCCUUAUUUUAUUUAUAAGGAUAUUAUUGGAUUUAUUAUUUUUAUAUGAAUUUUAAUAGGAUUUAUUUGAAAAUUUAAUUAUUUAUUAAUAGACCCAGAAAACUUCAUUCCUGCUAAUCCCUUAGUUACUCCUGUUCAUAUUCAACCUGAAUGAUAUUUUUUAUUUGCAUAUGCAAUUUUACGAUCAAUUCCUAAUAAAUUAGGAGGAGUAAUUGCAUUAGUUUUAUCAAUUGCAAUUUUAAUAAUUUUUCCAUUUACUCAUAUUAGUAAAUUCCGAGGAUUUCAAUUUUAUCCAUUAAAUCAAAUUUUAUUUUGAAAUAUAGUAAUUAUUGCCUCUCUUCUAACAUGAAUUGGAGCUCGACCUGUAGAAGACCCUUAUGUAUUAACAGGACAAAUUUUAACAGUUUUAUACUUUUCUUAUUUUAUUAUUAAUCCAAUUUUAUCUAAAUAUUGAGAUAAAUUAUUAAAUUAAAUUAAUAAGCUUUUAUAGCAUAUGUCUUGAAAACAUAAGAAAGAAUUAAAUCCUUCUAUUAAUUUAUUUAAUACUAAAAAUUAUUCAUUAAAAUAAUAGAGACAAAAUAAAAAUUUUUAAACCAAUAAAAAAAAAUAAAUAAUUUAAAGAUAUAGGUAAAAAUCUCUUUCAAGCUAAAUAUAUUAAUUUAUCAUAACGAAACCGAGGCAAAGUUCCUCGUACUCAAAUAAAUAAAAAAGAAAUUAUAGUUAAUUUAAAAAAAAAAAUAUAAUUCUAUAAAUAUCUCUACCUAAAAAAAUUACUCUAAAUAAUAUUCUUAUAAAUAAAAUUCUUGAAUAUUCCGCUAAAAAAAUUAAAGCAAAUCCUCCUCUUCUAUAUUCUACGUUAAAUCCAGAAACUAAUUCAGAUUCUCCUUCAGCAAAAUCAAAAGGAGUCCGAUUGGUCUCAGCUAAACAUGAAGCAAAUCAAACUAAUCUUAAAGGAAAACAAAAAAAUAAUAAACCAUAUAAAUUUUUGAUAUAAAUAAAAAUUUAAAAAAUUAUAAUUCCCAAUUCAAAAAAUAAAUCUUAAUAAAAUUAAUGCUAAACUUACUUCAUAAGAAAUAGUUUGAGCUACUGCUCGUAAACCCCCUAAUAAAGCAUAAUUUGAAUUUGAAGAUCAUCCAGCAACUAUUACAGUAUAAACUCCUAAACUUGUAAUACAUAAAAAAAAUAAAAUACCUAAAUUAAAAGAAUAUAAUUUAAUUAAAUAAGGUAUUCUCAUUCAAAUUAAUAGUGAUAAAAAUAAAGAAAAAAUAGGAGAAAAAUAAUAAAAAAUAUAAUUUGACAAUAAAGGAUAAGUUUGUUCCUUAGUAAAUAACUUCACAGCAUCACUAAAAGGCUGCAAUAACCCUAUAAAGCCUACUUUAUUAGGCCCCUUACGAAUUUGAAUAUAUCCUAAAACCUUACGUUCUAGUAAAGUCAAAAAAGCUACCCCUACUAUUACACAAACUACUAAUAAUAAACUUCCAAUUAAUGAUAAUAAAUAAUCUAUAAAAAACAAUACUAUUUAUAAUUAAUUAAAUUAUAUAAAUAAAUUCUAAAUUUACUGCACUAAUCUGCCAAAAUAGUUUUAUUAAAUAUUAAUAUAAUUCAUAAAUUUAAAAUUUAUAUUUUUUAUAUUAGGUCCUUUCGUACUAUAAUAUAAUAAUUUAUUAAAGAUAGAAACCAACCUGGCUUACGCCGGUUUGAACUCAGAUCAUGUAAGAAUUCAAAGGUCGAACAGACCUAAACUUUAAACUUCUACACCUAAAAAUAAUUCUUAAUCCAACAUCGAGGUCGCAAUCUUUUUUGUCGAUAAGAACUCUAAAAAAAAUUACGCUGUUAUCCCUAAGGUAACUUAAUUUUUUAAUCAAUAAAAUUGGAUCAAAUAUACAUAUAUUAAUGUAAACAAAUAAUAAAAGUUAAUUAAAUUUUAAUACCACCCCAGUAAAAUUUUUUAUUAAACUAUAAAUUUAAUUAUUCUUUUUAACUUAUAAUUAACAAAAAUAAAGAUCUAUAGGGUCUUCUCGUCUUUUAAUUAUAUUUUAACUUUUUAAUUAAAAAAUAAAAUUCUAUAAAAAUUUAAAAAAGACAGUAUAUAUCUCAUUCAACCAUUCAUACAAGCCUUCAAUUAAAAGACUACUGAUUAUGCUACCUUCGCACAGUCAAAAUACUGCGGCCCUUUAAUAUCUAUCAGUGGGCAGGUUAGACUUUAAAUUAAAUACAUGUUUUUGAUAAACAGGUGAAUAUAUAAUUUGCCGAAUUCCUUAUUUAAACCUCUCAAUUUAAAUAAUUUAUAUAAAUUAAAUAUACUAAUUUUAUCAUAAUUUAUAAAUCAUUAAUAUUAAAAUUUAUAUUCUAAUAAAUAAUUUAAUUUUAUAAUAAAUAAUAAAAAAUUUAAAAUAAAUUAUAACAAAUUUAUUAAUGAUAACUAUUUUUAAGCUUACAUUUAUUAAAUACUUUUUUAAAAUUUAAAAAUUUAUUUUAAAGCUAAUCCCUUAAAAUAUUAAUUUUAUAAAUUAAAAAUAUUAAAUAAAUAAUACUUUUAAUUUAUAAAUCUAAAUUAAAUUUAUUUCUUAAAAAACUAGAUAUAUUUUAAAACGAUUAACAUUUCACUUCUAAUUAUAUAUUAAAAAUAAUUAUUCCACAAUAACUUUUAUAUAUAAUUAAAUCUUUAAAAUUCGAGAAAAAUUACUAUAAUAAUUAAUUAAUUAAUAAACCCUGAUACACAAGGUACAAUAAAUUAAAUUUUCUUUUAAAAUAAAAAUUUUUCAAAUUAUUUCAAUCUUCUUUUACAAUACAAAUAAACUAUUAUUAAAAUUAUUAUUUCUUUAAAAAAUACUAAAACUAUGUUGAAUUAAAAUUAUUUUUAUUAAAUAUAAUACUUAAAUAAAUAAAAUUAAUAAAUAAAAUUUAAUCAAUUUAAAUUGAUUUGCACAAAUUUCUUUUCAAUGUAAAUGAAAUACUUUACUAAUUAAGCUUUAAAUUGUCUUUCUAGAUACACUUUCCAGUACAUCUACUAUGUUACAACUUAUCUUAUUUUAAAAAUAAGAACGAUGGGCGAUAUGUACAUGUUUUAGAGCUAAAAUCAUAUAAAUAAUCUCUUUUAUAUUACUAUUAAAUCCACCUUCAAAUCUUUAUUUCAAAAAAUUAUCCAUUUAAAUAAAAUUAUUGUAAUCCAUUUCUACUUAAAUAUAAACUGCACCUUGACCUGACAUUUUAUUAAAUUAAAUUUUUAGAAAAUUUUUAUCUUAUAACAUAUUCUGAUGACGGCGAUAUACAAAUUAAACAAAUUUAAGUAAGGUUCAAUGUGAAUUAUCAAUUACAGAACAGAUUCCUCUAAAUAGACUAAAACACCGCCAAAUUUUUUAAAUUUUAAGAAUAUAACUAAUACUACUUUAGCAUUUAAAUAUUUAUUUUUAAUAAUAGGGUAUCUAAUCCUA